rnacentral:misc_RNA from 1 species
UUUCCGUAGGUGAACCUGCGGAAGGAUCAUUAUUGGAUUUUGAAACUUCAGGCUGCUGCUGGCUCUCCUCGGAGGGCAUGUGCACGCUUGUUGUCCAUUCUUUCUCCCACUGUGCACAAAUUGUAGACCUUUCAGUAGGCCUAUGUUGUUUUUCACAAUCUCUGAAUGUAAUAGAAUGGUUUUGAAUCUUGGGAAAUACAAUACAACUUUCAGCAACGGAUCUCUUGGCUCUC